rnacentral:lncRNA from 1 species
CGGGGAUGAAAAAAAUUGAAAAUUCAAAUCCACAAGUACAUUAAUCCACUAUGCUAUCGCCUAUCAGCAGACAGAAGCGACAGGCCCCACGAGAAGCAAACAACAAAAAUUGCAGGCUACAGGCCCAACUAGAUCCAAACGCACAAGAAAGGCGUAAAAGCCACGCGGAUUCAAAGACCAGAGAAUGAACGCCGACAAGCAUACAUCGAUCGCAAAUAUCAAGAUUCCGGCGAGACAAAAUUCAUAACACAAUCACACCAAGACAGGAGCAGGAAGCUCAACAAUCAGAAACUCGAAUCACCUAACAUAAGUGUAAGACUAAACAAACUAGGAUUUGGGUUCUACUUUAGAGCACACGUACCGGACUUCUCGUCGUGAGGUUUUGCGUGGAACUUGAUCUUACUAAGCCUCUCCAGUGCGAAAUAGAGCUCAAUGGUAAAUUAUUAUAUAAUGGGAAUAGCAGGCCAAUGCUAAGAGGAAGGGGUGAGCAAGCCCACUAUUCUAGGAACAAAUUUGGAACAAUCCCAUGUGGGUGUGUUCAGCUGUGUAUGCGAGUACAAACCUUGAACCAGAGAAAGGGAAAAACUUUGGUCUGAUUUAUCUAACUUUAGCUAUGAUUUAUCUCUUCCUUGGCUAGUCACAAGUGAGUAGUGAAGUCAAUGACAUGUUGAGUGCAAGUGAAAAAGUGGUGGUAAUCCUCUAAGUAAU